GGGGUUGUGGCUCAGUGGUACAGCACUCACCUAGACCAGGUGAGGCACUGAGUUCGAUCCUCAGCACCACA
rnacentral:tRNA from 1 species